UUUUUUGAGUUUGGAUUCUGGCUCAGAUUGAACGCUGGCGGCAGGCCUAACACAUGCAAGUCGAGCGGAUGACGGGAGCUUGCUCCUUGAUUCAGCGGCGGACGGGUGAGUAAUGCCUAGGAAUCUGCCUGGUAGUGGGGGACAACGUUUCGAAAGGAACGCUAAUACCGCAUACGUCCUACGGGAGAAAGCAGGGGACCUUCGGGCCUUGCGCUAUCAGAUGAGCCUAGGUCGGAUUAGCUAGUUGGUGAGGUAAUGGCUCACCAAGGCGACGAUCCGUAACUGGUCUGAGAGGAUGAUCAGUCACACUGGAACUGAGACACGGUCCAGACUCCUACGGGAGGCAGCAGUGGGGAAUAUUGGACAAUGGGCGAAAGCCUGAUCCAGCCAUGCCGCGUGUGUGAAGAAGGUCUUCGGAUUGUAAAGCACUUUAAGUUGGGAGGAAGGGCAGUAAGUUAAUACCUUGCUGUUUUGACGUUACCGACAGAAUAAGCACCGGCUAACUCUGUGCCAGCAGCCGCGGUAAUACAGAGGGUGCAAGCGUUAAUCGGAAUUACUGGGCGUAAAGCGCGCGUAGGUGGUUCGUUAAGUUGGAUGUGAAAGCCCCGGGCUCAACCUGGGAACUGCAUCCAAAACUGGCGAGCUAGAGUACGGUAGAGGGUGGUGGAAUUUCCUGUGUAGCGGUGAAAUGCGUAGAUAUAGGAAGGAACACCAGUGGCGAAGGCGACCACCUGGACUGAUACUGACACUGAGGUGCGAAAGCGUGGGGAGCAAACAGGAUUAGAUACCCUGGUAGUCCACGCCGUAAACGAUGUCAACUAGCCGUUGGAAUCCUUGAGAUUUUAGUGGCGCAGCUAACGCAUUAAGUGACCGCCUGG
rnacentral:rRNA from 1 species